rnacentral:rRNA from 1 species
AACGAACGCUGGCAGCGUGGAUUAGGCAUGCAAGUCGGACGGGAUCGGCUGGAUAGCAAUAUUCGGCCGUGAGAGUGGCGGAUUGGGGAGGAGCACGUGAGCAACCUGCCCUGGAGAUGUGGAAAACCUCUGGAAACGGAGGCUAAUACAGAAUGUGGCGCCCGACGGCAUCGUCGGAGCGCCGAAGGGGGCCGCAAGGCUCCCGCUCCGGGAUGGGCUCGCGCACCAUCAGCUAGUUGGCGGGGUAACGGCCCACCAAGGCCUACGGUUAGCUGGUCUGAGAGGAUGACCAGCCCCACUGGGACUGAGAUACUGCCCAGACUCCUACGGGAGGCUGCGGUCGAGGAUCAUUCGCAAUGGGCGAAAGCCUGACGAUGCGACGCUGCGUGGAGGAUGAAGGCCUUCGGGUCGUAAACUCCUGUCAUGGGGGAAGAGGCGAGGGAAGCGAACACCUUCCUUAGUUGACUGUACCCCAAGAGGAAGCGACGGCUAACUCUGUGCCAGCCGCGGC